GCCGGGGUCGCCUAGGGGCCUAGGGCGCCGGACUCAUAGUCCGGUUAUCGCGGGUUCGAAUGGGUUAAACCCCGAAAAUCCCGCCCCCGGCA
rnacentral:tRNA from 3 species